rnacentral:rRNA from 1 species
UACCAGCCCUCCGAGUGGUGUGGAUGUUUAUUGGGCCUAAGCAUCCGUAGCUGGCUGGGCAAGUCCCCUGUUAAAUCCACCGAUUUAAUCGUUGGUGUGCGGGGGAUACUGUUCGGCUAGGGGACGGGAGAGGCCGACGGUAUUUCCGGGGGUAGGGGUGAAAUCCUAUAAUCCCGGGAAGACCACCAGUGGCGAAGGCUGUCGGCUAGAACGCGCCCGACGGUGAGGGAUGAAAGCGUGGGGGAGCGAACCGGAUUAGAUACCCGGGUAGUCCCAGCUGUAAACGAUGCGGGCUAGGUGUUUGGGCGGCCACGUGCCGCUCUAGUGCCGCAAGGAAGCUGUUAAGCCUGCCGCCGUGGGGAGUACGGCCGCAAGGCUGAAACUUAAAGGAAUUGGGCGGGGGAGCACCGACAAGGGGGUGAAGCUUGCGGUUU